rnacentral:rRNA from 1 species
UACAGAGGUCCCAAGCGUUGUUCGGAUUCACUGGGCGUAAAGGGUGCGUAGGCGGUCGGGUAAGUCUGAUGUGAAAUCUCCAAGCUCAACUUGGAAAUGGCAUCGGAUACUAUUCGGCUCGAGGAAUGGAGGGGAGACUGGAAUACUUGGUGUAGCAGUGAAAUGCGUAGAUAUCAAGUGGAACACCAGUGGCGAAGGCGGCCUACUGGGCUGCACCUGACGCUGAGCCGCGAAAGCCAGGGGAGCGAACGGG